rnacentral:lncRNA from 12 species
UUGGGGAUCCCUACCCCGGAAACCGGGGAUUUGAGGGGCUUGAACCCCAGCGAGGGUGCGGGGGUGGGGGAGGAGUGGGACGUCUCCAGGGAGCCAGGCGGAGGGCGCCAGAUUCCAAACUCCCCACCCCAACCCCAAGGAGCCCUGGUUCAUGUCGUCCGAGACUCCUCCCUGGUUCUGACCCUCCCUCCACCACCACCCCCCGCUCCCCUUUCUGCCGCCCCCGUCACCCCCCCUCUCGUAUCCCCAGGGCGCUCCCACCCUGGGGAAGAAUGUGCCCUCCUAGCGCACCCUUGCCAUGGUAACGGCACACCCCCACCCCCGCGCACCGCAGCGGCCGGGCCUGGCCCGGAGGGCGGCGAGAAAAGGGGGAGUGGGCGCCUCCCAGCCCCGCGGACACACCUCGACUGCCCUGGUUGCCACAGUAACCGGGGGCGUUUCGAAGUGCGCAGCCGCAAAGUGGCACAGGGCUCUCCUCUCGGUCCUGCACCCCUCCGAGCCGCCCGCCGAGGACCCCGGCUCCUGGCAGAGGCCGCCGCCCACCCUCCUCCACCCUGCGCGACUUCAAGGACAAAGUCCAGAGAGGGAUCGCGGGGCUUUCCAGCUUCCACGCACCGCGAGCCGAGGGAGCACAGGCGGCCGGAGGACCCAGAGAGCCUGAAACCUGAAGAGGGAUCCCCUGUCCGCGUCCGUCCCCCUCCCCCAGCGGAGCCUGAGGGGGGGCGCUGGCAGCAGGAAGCCGGGAAGGGCCCCGGAGGCGCGCAGGCCCCACAGUGGAGCGGUGAUUACAGGGACCUGUCCCUCCCGCCCCCGGCUCCCACUCUCAUUAAGUCAUUUUUUCCCCUGUUGGAAAGUCCCCGUGCCUUGAGCACAGGGGUUGGGGCGACCGCAGGCAGCUGCCGGCAACCACAUGAGAAGGGGGGGCUCAGAGGGGAGGAGGGGGCCCCGACUCCGGCCUGGACAAACUCCAACGUGGAAGGCCCCCUGCCGGGGGCUAGCUGGGGACGCACUAAUUUGGGAGGAGCAGUGCCUGGAUGCCGCUGA